GACGAACGCUGGCGGCGUGCUUAACACAUGCAAGUGGGGCGACGAACCAGGCUUCGGCCUGGGGCAAAGCCGCGAACGGGUGAGUAACACGUGGGUAACCUGCCUCGAAGACUGGGAUAACCCGAGGAAACUCGGGCUAAUACCGGAUGUGGUCGCCGUUCUCAAGGACGGCGAGCAAAGGAAGCUUCGGCCUCCGCUUAGUGAGGGGCCCGCGGCGCAUUAGCUUGUUGGUGAGGCAACGGCUCACCAAGGCGACGGUGGGUAGCUGGUCUGAGAGGACGGUCGACCACACUGGGACUGAGACACGGCCCAGACGCCUACGGGAGGCUGACGUGGGGAAUCUUGGGCAGUGCGGGAAAGCGUUACGGAGCAAAGCCGCGUGGGAGAAGAAGGCCUUCGGGUUGUAAACCUCUUUCAGGAGGGACGAAACCUAGGGAGUUAAUAGCCCUCCGGGGUGACGGUACCUCAAUAAGAAGCCCUGGCUAACUACGUGCCAGCAGCCGCGGUAAUAC
rnacentral:rRNA from 1 species